rnacentral:rRNA from 1 species
GACGAACCCGUGCGAACGUUGUUCGGAAUCACUGGGCUUAAAGGGCGCGUAGGCGGCUUGCCAAGUCAGGGGUGAAAUCCUGCAGCUCAACUGUAGAAGUGCCUUUGAUACUGGCGAGCUCGAGGGAGGUAGGGGUGCGUGGAACUUCUGGUGGAGCGGUGAAAUGCGUUGAUAUCAGAAGGAACGCCGGUGGCGAAAGCGACGCACUGGAUCUCUACUGACGCUGAGGCGCGAAAGCUAGGGGAGCAAACGGGAUUAGAAACCCGGGUAGU